rnacentral:lncRNA from 1 species
UUGCCCUGGCCCUGGAGAAAUCUGAUCUGCAGAACUGCACAAACGCCUCUAUCCCUCUAAGGGAGAUCUCACACCCUGGCAAGCAUGAAGAAAGACAGAGGAACUGAUGUGUGUUCAAGACUUGAGAGCCAUGGAGAGGAGCUGGUAUCACCAUUGCCUGCAGCUCAGGCCCAUCACUUCAUCCUUCACUCCACCAUUCCUCAGCUGGAUUCACCUCACCCCUGACGUUAGAACCUGAACACGCCUCCGAAACUGCUUUGAAUUUCCGCCAUCAAGGGGCAUAUCUUUGGCUCUCAGGAGGGAUAAACAACGGUAUUAUCAAUCACCGUUUUAGCAGAAUUAACACCUGAGAGGCGGAAACCAAAAUGGACAAAGGAAACAAAAAGAGCACAGAUAAGACUUCAGAAUCCUUCUCAGUUCUGCAUUCCAGGCAGUCACUACCAAAAUGUAAUUUAUUUCCAGUCUUGGCCUUCGAGGGCAUAUACCCUAAAAGUCUAAAAGAGAGAGAGAUUGAGACCAUAUAUGUAAAUGGUGUUACAACUUCCUAAAUACACUGCGCAUGAUCACCUCCCAAGGGGAAGGAGGGCACUGUGCAUGCGGGCAGCUCGUCCUAAGAGAAGAGUCAUGGGAAAGGGGUGCAAGACACCUGAAGUGGGCCAGCCUACAAAGUCCUAGGAUCAAGGUUAAAGAUUGCACUUGUCCUUCAAGUUGCCUGCUUCGGUCUCUUCCAAGUGUAGUUUCCUUUCUUUCCUGUUCUAAAGCUGUCUAAAAUAAACUUCCACUCCUG